ensembl:snRNA LOC120102586 U6 spliceosomal RNA
GUGCUCAGUUUGGCAGCACAUAUACUAAAACUAAAUCAAUACAGAGAAGAUUAGCAUGGCCCCUGUAUAAAGGUGACAGAAAGAUUUGUGAAGUGUUUCAUGUGAAC